rnacentral:rRNA from 1 species
UGAGGAAUAUUGGUCAAUGGGCGCAGGCCUGAACCAGCCAAGUAGCGUGAAGGAUGACUGCCCUAUGGGUUGUAAACUUCUUUUAUAAAGGAAUAAAGUCGGGUAUGUAUACCCGUUUGCAUGUACUUUAUGAAUAAGGAUCGGCUAACUCCGUGCCAGCAGCCGCGGUAAUACGGAGGAUCCGAGCGUUAUCCGGAUUUAUUGGGUUUAAAGGGAGCGUAGAUGGAUGUUUAAGUCAGUUGUGAAAGUUUGCGGCUCAACCGUAAAAUUGCAGUUGAUACUGGAUAUCUUGAGUGCAGUUGAGGCAGGCGGAAUUCGUGGUGUAGCGGUGAAAUGCUUAGAUAUCACGAAGAACUCCGAUUGCGAAGGCAGCCUGCUAAGCUGCAACUGACAUUGAGGCUCGAAAGUGUGGGUAUCAAACAGGAUUAGAUACCCUGGUAGUCCACACGGUAAACGAUGAAUACUCGCUGUUUGCGAUAUACUGCAAGCGGCCAAGCGAAAGCGUUAAGUAUUCCACCUGGGGAGUACGCCGGCAACGGUGAAACUCAAAGGAAUUGACGGGGGCCCGCACAAGCGGAGGAACAUGUGGUUUAAUUCGAUGAUACGCGAGGAACCUUACCCGGGCUUAAAUUGCAGAUGAAUUACGGUGAAAGCCGUAAGCCGCAAGGCAUCUGUGAAGGUGCUGCAUGGUUGUCGUCAGCUCGUGCCGUGAGGUGUCGGCUUAAGUGCCAUAACGAGCGCAACCCUUGUUGUCAGUUACUAACAGGUUCCGCUGAGGACUCUGACAAGACUGCCAUCGUAAGAUGUGAAGAAGGUGGGGAUGACGUCAAAUCAGCACGGCCCUUACGUCCGGGGCUACACACGUGUUACAAUGGGGGGUACAGAGGGCCGCUACCACGCGAGUGGAUGCCAAUCCCCAAAACCUCUCUCAGUUCGGACUGGAGUCUGCAACCCGACUCCACGAAGCUGGAUUCGCUAGUAAUCGCGCAUCAGCCACGGCGCGGUGAAUACGUUCCC